CUUGGGAUAUUAUUUUUGCGAGAUAUAUAUCUUUGACUUCAUCAUGAAGUGGUUUGAAUAAUUUCCGAUGCACCAACCUAAGCCAUGCAGGCAUGCAUGAAUCAAUCUUCGUGGCAUUGCACAAGUCAAAAAGAUGAGAAAAAAAAGAGUAAACUGAAAUCAAGGGUGAUGGGUUAUUGUAAAACCAGAGAGAAGGAGUGGAAAUAAAAUGGAUGACUGAGGAGGGGAUGUUUAAGAAAAAGGAAAAAAUAAAUUUAUUUAAGCAUUUUUACAUGGAAAAAAAAUAGAGAACUGUAUUUAGAACAUGUGAAAGUGUAAAUAGCAAGAGCCAUUAGAUUACAGGCUUUACUAUUAAAUUUCUAGCCCGGUCUAGGUUUUUGCAAUCUAAUGGGCCGGUCCAUUUUUUCUUGGGGGUUACUCCCUGCACCUCCCCAAUUCCAACCCCCACCCCCAUUCCAUUUUUACCCUUUCCUCUAUUUUUUCUAUUCCAAUUUUAUCCUUUAGCAAAAAUUUAUAUUUAGAAAUACAAUUUUAUAAUUUUAUUCUCCCACCCCCACAUAACCUAUUUAUUUUUUUUUUAUCUUCAUGCUUUCAUUUUUACGCUUUCUUCCCACGAAUUUUUUGUUCUAUUUUUCUAGAAAUUCUUUCUCCCAUUCUUCUUGUAUUUCAAGUGAUAAUUGAGAUAUCGAUUUGUUCUGAAAGAAUUUGUCCUUAAAUUAUUAUAUCUCUGCAUUACAUUGGUGUGGUGGUGUUCUAUCCAACCUCAACAUUGGUGUGGUGGUAUUCUAUCCAACCUCAGCAGCGAUCCUCUUGGAGUCCAGGUUAGUAGUACUUUCGUAAAACCGUUAGAACGAAUGGCGACUUCCGUUUAUCCUUAAACGGAUGUUGACAUCCGUUGACGGAUUCCCAGAUCCGUUUAAGCGAUUUUAGAUUAUAUUAUGUUUUUGUUAGUUUUAUUUUUUAAGAUUUGUUUUUAUUAAUUUUAUUUUUUAAGAUUUGUUUUUAUUAAUUUUAUUUUUUAAGAUUUGUUUUUAUUAGUUUAUUUUUUAGGAUUUGUUUUUAUUAGUUUUAUUUUUUAAGAUUUGUUUUUAUUAGAUUUUUAUUUUAUUAGUUUUAUUUUUUAAGAUUUGUUUUUAUUAGUUCACUUUNN
rnacentral:lncRNA from 1 species